GUUUCAAUUGCCUAAACAUACUAGGCAAUUCUGUGUGUGCAUUUUGAAUCUCACUGCUCGUUUUGUUUUGUUUCCCUGACAUACAAGGCUCACGGUUUGUGCAAUUUUCUACCAAACAGGAACUAGUUCAUGCAUUUACUAUUGUACUACACACACGUUUUUACAACCCACGAACAGAACUUUGGUUUGAUACAAUGACUGUUUGUUAUUAAGCUAUUAUGUUCACAUAUUGUAUAUUGUCAAACGGGCACUGUUUGUUUCCCUGUCAUACAACUAUAAUGCUGGGGCAUAGCUCACGAACAAUGUUUCACAUAAACUACACUGACCCUUACAGGUCACUCUCAAAAUCUCACGUUAACCUUGCUGUUGGCUUAAAGG